CCGCCGCCCGUGACUCGGCGAGAAGUCCAUUGAACCUUAUCAUUUAGAGGAAGGAGAAGUCGUAACAAGGUUUCCGUAGGUGAACCUGCGGAAGGAUCAUUG
rnacentral:rRNA from 1 species